GUCCCCGGGUCUCCCAGUGAUCCUAUGUAUCACAGUGUCUCAAUGCCCGAUGUCUCCCUGUGUCCCCAUGUAUCCCAGGGUCCCCAUGUCACUAGGACACUAGAAAGACGGGGAGACUUGGGGACACGGGGAGACCUAGGGACACGGAGACACCAGUGACACUGGGAGACUAGGGGACUCUGGCUGGGACACAUGGGGACAAUGGGAAAAUAGGGGACACUUGAAGACAUGGGGACACAGACACCAGGGACACAGACACUAGAGACACUGGCUGGGGGACAUGGGGACAUUGAGACAUGGGGCACUGGGAGACAUGGGGACACUGAGACACCAGGGCCACAGACACUAGGGACACUAGCUUGGAGACAUGGG